rnacentral:lncRNA from 1 species
UCUCUCUCUGCUGGCUGGCUGGCUGUCUAGGCCUAUGUGUCACCACCUGGCACUUGCUCUCAUUGUCUUGUGCGAGUGCUUUUGCCAGCAGUUUGGAGUGCAGACCCAUCACCCCUCACUGGGGCCCCCCAUGAGGCCUGCCUGACUGCAUGCCCCACCCGGGCCCAUGGCAGCGCACCUGGAAGCGGACGGCUGAGGACUUGUUGCAGUGCAUGGAGAUGGGCGCGAAGCUGUACAGGGCCUUCAGUACGUCGCGGUUGAAGGAGUUCCAGGGAACAGAGGUGAACUGCUGAGACACGGACGCCUGAGGGCAGGAAGCCGGCGUCCACAGCGCUCUUGCAGAGCUCCAGCUGCGUCUGGGGGUAGUAGUGCACGUAGUUGACACACAUCUCCUCCAGGAUCCCGAAGCCCCCCUGCAAGUUGGAGGAGACCCGUCAGCCCCGGGCCAUGCCACGCAGACGCUGCCAUCCAGCAGCUUUCGCCGCACCCACGUGUACACUGCGUCCACUCGUCUGUUCACUGCACCGUGCCAGGCAUGCUCUGGGGAACCGAGUCCCUGCCCUCAAGGAAUUGCCACCAUUGGCAGGAGAGACAGGCAGUGAGUGAGUGAGUCAACCAGGAAAUUCGUAUCAGGUACUGAUGAUGCUGUGAGGAAAAAUGAAACGGGACAAGCGGAUGGGGUGUUAUUGUGCCCAUUUUAUGGGUACAGAAACUGAGUCUCAGAGCAGGCAAGGGGAUGCCCCGUGGUGGCCACAGCAUCGGUGGCACAGCCUGAGUGCACCCAGCGUCCCGGCCAUUGUCUGGAAGCUGUCCCCAUGACCUCCAGCGAGAGCCUGGAGCCAAGGACUGCAAGGGAGGCCCUUUCCACUGCAGCCCCGCACCGUCCACCAGUCAUUUCUCCAACGUGGCUCUGAGGGGAGCAGGGACUCUAUAAGACAGGACCGUGACUAGAGGCCGCGACAACCUCCAGCCUCUCACGGCAACCCUACGGCCUGCCAUCGCAUGGGAGGGGCAGGGCAGGCACCCUCUGAGUCCCCACUGCCAGCUUUAAGCCCCUCGCUGGGUUGCUGCUCUUGGAGCUGGUGACCGUGGAGCCUCAGCCAUAGGAGGAAGAACAGCAGCAGCUUGGAGGAGCUGGGGCUGGAGAGAGCAAAGCUCCCCCGGCAGCAGCUCAGAUCCCAGCAGGUCAGGGGCCGGGACAUGACGCCCUGGCCACCCUUGCCCCUCCAGGCUCCCCGCUGUUUGUGAAGCUGCUGUGGGCCUGGGGAUUUCAUCUGGCUGGUGGGGAAGAAAGGCAAUCUUUACUCUAUGGCAGAACAAAGGGACUGGGCAAAGCUUGGCGUGGCACUUACACCAGCUGCCGCCCCCUCCUCCCGUGCAGACAAAGAGCAUGGGACAGUUCUGCCCAGAGACGAAACCUGGCACCUGUUGGCCAGGACGCGUUUUUGCCAGCAUUGUUCUCUGGGCCGGAUUCCUCCUUUCCCAGCUUUUCUCAUCCAUCCCGCCCCCGUCAGAUCGGGACGAUUGCCCUCCUGUGUGAGUUCCUGUCCCUCCCCACCCUCUGCCACCACAGACAUCAAAAGGGAACUGAGUCCGACCCUGUGUAGAAUCUGUUCUCCUCUUUCACCUGGGGAAGGAAAUCGAAUUUCAAAGGCCACUGUGUCUUGGAUCAGCAGGCGAGGGCUUGUCAGAGUGUGAGAAGCUCAGGUCCACCUGGGGAGCUGCCCUCCCCUUUGAUCCCACCUGGUGCUGUGAUGUGGCCACUGCCAAGAGGACGACAUGGGCCAGGGAAGCCACAGAACUGCCCACGGGGACGCUGGCACCGAGGGCCUCAACCUGCAGAACGGCCAUCUGAGAUGUCCGCGGUGCUCACCAGGCCUGGCAGCCCCGAACGCCCUGGGACGUGGCGUCAGUUCCGCCGCCGUGAAGCCAGAUUGGGCAGGGAAUAUGCAGUCUCCUCGCUGGAUGCCCGGCAAGACCCUCCCAUCCCUGGCCCCGGGGCCGCGCCUGCAGAAUGGGGCUGAUGGUGGGGACUUGCCUGGGGUGCUCCACCUGCAGAGCCCUCUGUUUGCGAGCCCACUCAGUCACUGCACAGGUGCUUAGCCGAGAGGCGGCACAGUCGGGGUUGGCACCUGCACCCAUACCAGCCCUGCCUCCUGUUCGCUGUGUGGCCUGAGUGGCUGGACCUCACUGUAUCUCCUGGUGGGAUUGCUCAGAGGUCUCAGCAAGGCUUGGUGUGGUUAGGAUGAGUUAUUAGAGCAGUGCUGAGCUGUGGCAAGCACCCGACAUCAGCCACUGCUGUGAUAUACUGAGCACCUCCUCUAGAGAGAAUAAAGGACUGACAAAGC